CGCAAAAAUACAUGUGGGAGAAGAGUCAGGAACAGGGUUGUGGGCGUUUGAUAGACCUCCCUUGGAGUUGGCCAUCGUUGUGUGAUAACGAAGAUACGGCCUGAUGCUACGAGUAUGGACACUAUCGAUUCGACAAUCAACAGCGGUGGUUGGGCACUUGCGAUGCGCUGCUCCCUUCGUCGGUGGGAUCUCAAGAAAGAACGAAUUUUCGUCCCAAUGAUGCCACAGAGGAAAACUAUGAUGGGGUGUAUCUAAGGCCACGAGAUCAUCGGAUCCGUCGGGUAUAGCCCUCGUUCCGAAAGUAAGGGAAAUUGACGUCGCUGUCAAUUGGUCAGUUUGGGACAAAGACUGUCUGUCCGUUUGAAAAAUCUUAAUUGCCGGAACAACCCAGGUUUUAUAGCGGGUCCUCGGGCUAACUGGACUUGUGCUGUGCACGUGCCUCAACAUCAGGCGAAGCGCCCGUCCCGUUGACCGCGGCUACGUUCGGCGACUGAUGGUCGCCUUGAGCCCAAGUUUAUUAUCACAAACCGCAAACAA